rnacentral:rRNA from 1 species
AUACAUAGGGGGCAAGCGUUAUCCGGAAUUAUUGGGCGUAAAGCGCGCGCAGGCGGUCCUUUAAGUCUGAUGUGAAAGCCCACGGCUCAACCGUGGAGGGUCAUUGGAAACUGGAGGACUUGAGUGCAGAAGAGGAAAGUGGAAUUCCGAGUGUAGCGGUGAAAUGCGUAGAGAUUUGGAGGAACACCAGUGGCGAAGGCGAGUUUCUGGUCUGUAACUGACGCUGAGGCGCGAAAGCGUGGGGAGCAAACAGGAUUAGAUACCCUGGUAGUCCACGCCGUAAACGAUGAGUGCUAAGUGUUAGGGGGUUUCCGCCCCUUAGUGCUGCAGCUAACGCAUUAAGCACUCCGCCUGGGGAGUACGGUCGCAAGACUGAAACUCAAAUGAAUUGGCGGGG